rnacentral:tRNA from 1 species
GGAGAAGUACCCAAGAGGCUGAAGGGACCGCACUCGAAAUGCGGCAGACCGGCAACGGUGCGAGGGUUCAAAUCCCUCCUUCUCCG